UGGGGAAUUUUGGACAAUGGGGGAAACCCUGAUCCAGCCAUCCCGCGUGUGCGAUGAAGGCCUUCGGGUUGUAAAGCACUUUUGGCAGGAAAGAAACGUCAUGGGUUAAUACCCCGUGAAACUGACGGUACCUGCAGAAUAAGCACCGGCUAACUACGUGCCAGCAGCCGCGGUAAUACGUAGGGUGCAAGCGUUAAUCGGAAUUACUGGGCGUAAAGCGUGCGCAGGCGUUUCGGAAAGAAAGAUGUGAAAUCCCAGAGCUCAACUUUGGAACUGCAUUUUUAACUACCGGGCUAGAGUGUGUCAGAGGGAGGUGGAAUUCCGCGUGUAGCAGUGAUAUGCGUAGAUAUGCGGAGGAACACCGAUGGCGAAGGCAGCCUCCUGGGAUAACACUGACGCUCAUGCACGAAAGCGUGGGGAGCAAACAGG
rnacentral:rRNA from 1 species